AACAUUUUCACGAGUUUUAUCAAAGAUUAUGUAAUUUAUUAAGAUUAGUUCAAUGUAUUGUGUUUCUAUACAUUGCAAACUAAUUCAUUAGAGGUGUUUACUUUUAAUAUUUUAGUGAAGUUGUGAAAAGUUUAUUGAAUAAUCAUUUCCGCCCCUCCUGAAAAAGAAAAACUCGACAGAGAGGUAUUUAAAAGCCCGAAUACCUGUAACCACACUUCAAAGUUUAUAAAUACCCGAGAGAUCCCUCUUAAGAUCUCAUUAUUCAUUUGAAAUUGUCAAAGUUGUGAAAGAUUUUUACAAAUCGUUUCCUCUACAUGAAAGUUGAAAUUUAGCUGAAGUAUUGCGAUUGGAGAAGAUUAACGCUUCCUUGUUUGGACAAAUCCAUGUUUGUUUGAGAGACGUGUAAUUCGCAAAAAUUCACCUGAACAGGAGAGAAUUUCCGAUAGAAGCUAGUCAUUUUAGAGGCGGCACUAUUAGUUGGAAACCUACUGGAAAUGGAAAUGAGGUUCGUUUUUCCUUUAAACUUGGAUGGACAUAUGGAGGUGGUCCGGGUUGUACCCCAAAUAAAGUUGGACAGCUUGUUACUGGACAGAAUUCAUCGUAUUGGCAAUGCACCAGUGGUUGUAGCGGAACUGUUUACUGGAGGUGAUUGGGUUUCGUUGAAUUAUGGAAGUGCCGGAAGUUGGUCCGUGGGAACUGUAGUUUACUUAGCAAAUCGUAGUGAUACUCAUACCAAGAACAGAAGUCCAGUCACAACGGGGAAACCAAUGUAUACAAUUCAAUAUGGAUGCCAGGCCACAAUACGUAUUCCGGUUGUUGAUGACGAUGGGGACACCGUUAGAUGUCGCUGGUCGACAGGGUCAGAGUGCGUCUCUAUCUGUAAUGCACUACCGUCAGCGACGAUUGAUAGCAAUACCUGCACAAUAUCAUUUCCUGCAAAUCACGCAUCAAAUGGGAUAUAUGCGGUCGCAGUUUCUGUAGAGGACUAUCCAAAGUCCACCAUAACUAUUGGAUCCCAAGUUUAUACCUCAAGUACAAAGAUGUCAACAGUUAAUUUGCAGUUUUUAGUACAAACUCCAUCUGUAUCAGGAAAUUGUAACGACAAGCCUCGUUUUAUAAGUCCAACACCAGCGCAAGGUUCAACCAUUCAAACAAACAUUUUGCAGAUCUUCCAUCUCUCUUUCUACGUCACCAAUACAAGAAGUAUUACAAAGGUAGAUAUCACCUCACCUGCUGGAAUGACAUAUACUUCACUACAAUCUGUACCUUCUCAACCUGGGAGUGUGUUUGUCGCUACAUCAUGGACGCCACAGCAAAACCAAGUAGGAAUCCACAUUGUUUGCGCUUUGGCAGAGGACUCCAUAGGGAAAACAAGUGAAUCACGAUGCAUCAACAUAAAUGUAAACGACGUAAGUCCUUGUUUGAGUGGGCCUUGUCAGAACAAUGGAACGUGUGUUAGAAAUGGUAUGACUCAGAACUACACGUGUACAUGUGUCCCCGGAUUCACAGGCCGAUUUUGUGAAAUAGAUAUUAAUGAAUGUUCAAGUCGACCAUGUCAGCAUGGCGGAACGUGCCUUGACCUGAUCAACAGAUUUGAAUGUCAAUGUGUGCCUGGAUAUACCGGAACACAAUGUGAAAUUGACAUAAAUGAAUGCGCCAGCAACCCAUGUGAGAACCAAGCUACAUGUAAUGAUCUUGUCAACUUCUUCAACUGCACCUGUCUUCCUGGGUUCACAGGUGACCGGUGUCAAAUAGAUAUAAAUGAGUGCGAACCCGGCCCAUGCAUAUUUCUGUUUGAUUGUGAAGAUCGUAUCAAUGAGUACCAUUGUAAUCUGAUAGAGUGGAAACUGGCCCUGAUCAUUUUAUCUUUUGUAAUGCUGAGUCUGUUUGUCAUAUGCGUUUUUACCUAUAUUUUCAAAAGAAAAACAUACAAAGAUAUAGAUCACAGCUGGUUGGCGAAUUUUGUUGAUAUCCAUCAAUCUGAUAUGCAGUCAAAAGUUCUCUUCAAUCGAAAAAUUCCAUUCAGGAGGUUUUGAACACAUCACAAGACACUGACUUAAGUGCACUUUUCAAAGAACAUGGAAUCAGCUCAAAAUUAAUUUGAAAUGUCAUAUGAAAAAACAUCUCAAAAAAGAAUGAUUUUAUUGAUAUUUACCAGUUGUUUAUCUAACUUGUUAAAGAAUUUAUGUUUUGCAUUAUUGUUAUUGUUUUCUGUUUAAAUUUUCUAAUUGUUGAUUUGA
rnacentral:misc_RNA from 1 species